CCUACGGGAGGCAGCAGUGAGGAAUAUUGGUCAAUGGCCGGAAGGCUGAACCAGCCAAGCCGCGUGAAGGACGAAGGUGCCAAGCAUUGUAAACUUCUUUUGUCAAGGGACAAAAUCAUGCUCGAGAGCCUUUCCGAGGGUACUUUAAGAAAAAGCAUCGGCUUACUUCCUGCCAGCAGCCGCGGUAAUACGGGGGAUGCGGGCGUUAUCCGGAUUUAUUGGGUUUAAAGGGGUCGUAGGGGGGCUGUUAAGUCAGCGGUAAAAGCCCGGGGCUCAACCCCGGCGAGCCGUUGAAACUGGCUGUCUUGAGAUGUCGAGAGGUAUGCGGAAUGCGGAGUGUAGCGGUGAAAUGCUUAGAUAUUGCGCAGAACUCCGAUUGCGAAGGCAGCAUACCGGCGGCGAUCUGACGCUGAGGCACGAAAGCGUGGGUAUCGAACAGGAUUAGAUACCCUAGUAGUC
rnacentral:rRNA from 1 species